rnacentral:rRNA from 1 species
AACGAACGCUGGCGGCAUGCCUAACACAUGCAAGUCGAACGAGACCUUCGGGUCUAGUGGCGCACGGGUGCGUAACGCGUGGGAACCUGCCCUUAGGUUCGGAAUAACUCCCCGAAAGGGGUGCUAAUACCGGAUAAUGUCUUCGGACCAAAGAUUUAUCGCCUUUGGAUGGGCCCGCGUUGGAUUAGCUAGUUGGUAGGGUAAAAGCCUACCAAGGCGACGAUCCAUAGCUGGUCUGAGAGGAUGAUCAGCCACACUGGGACUGAGACACGGCCCAGACCCUACGGGGAGGAAGAGGUGGGGAUAAUUGGACAAUGGGCGAAAGCCUGAUCAGGAAUGGCGGGGUGAGUGAGGAAGGCUUUGGGGUGGUAAGCCCCUUUUCCCGGGGAGGAAAUGACAGUACCGGGAGAAUAAGCUCCGGCUAACUCCGUG